rnacentral:rRNA from 1 species
GGCUAAAUACUCCUGAGAGACCGAUAGUGAACUAGUACCGUGAGGGAAAGGUGAAAAGAACCCUGAAUAAGGGAGUGAAAUAGAACAUGAAACCAUAUGCUUACAAGCGGUCGGAGCCUUUUUAAGGUGACGGCGUGCCUUUUGCAUAAUGAGCCUACGAGUUACCGUUGCUAGCAAGGUUAAUUCAUUCAGUGAAGGAGCCGUAGCGAAAGCGAGUCUGAAUAGGGCGAUUUAGUUAGCAGUGGUAGACGCGAAACCGUGUGAUCUACCCAUGGGCAGGGUGAAGCUGUGGUAAUACUCAGUGGAGGCCCGAACCCGUUGACGUUGAAAAGUCUUGGGAUGACCUGUGGGUAGGGGUGAAAGGCCAAUCAAACUCGGAAAUAGCUCGUACUCCCCGAAAUGCAUUUAGGUGCAGCGUUGUAUUAGUUUUGUAGAGGUAGAGCUACUGAUUGGAUGCGGGGGUUUCACCACCUACCAAUUNCUGACAAACUCCGAAUGCUACAAAAUGNUGUNCAGCAGUGAGGGCAUGGGUGCUAAGGUCCAUGUCCGAGAGGGAAACAACCCGGACCAUCAGCUAAGGUCCCCAAGUGUAUACUAAGUUGAAUAAACGANGUUUGACUGCCCAGACAGCUAGGAUGUUGGCUUGGAAGCAGCCAUUCAUUUAAAGAGUGCGUAACAGCUCACUAGUCGAGCGGUCGAGCAUGGAUAAUAAUCGGGCAUAAGUAUACCACCGAAGCUAUGGCAUCGUAAGAUGGGUAGGGGAGCAUUCUAUGUGCUUUGAAGGCUUGCCGUGAGGCAUACUGGAGCGCAUGGAAAAGAAAAUGUAGGCAUAAGUAACGACAAUGCGGGCGAGAAACCCGCACACCGAAAGACUCAGGUUUCCUCAGCUAUGCUAAUCAGCUGAGGGUUAGUCAGGACCUAACGCGAACCCGAAAGGGGUAGUGGAUGGACAACCGGUUAAUAUUCCGGUACCUGCCGGCGCUAAAAGUGACGGAGAGGAUUAGCUACUGCGUACUGACGGAAUAGUACGUUGAACCAUUUUUUAAGAAUGGGAUAGUACACCAAGACUUCGGUUGCGGUGAUAAUGUAGCAGCCCCUCUUCCAAGAAAAGCAAGCCAGGCAGCCUGUACCCUAAACCGACACAGGUAGUUGGGAUGAGAAUUCUAAGGUGCUCGAGAGAUUCAUGGCUAAGGAACUAGGCAAAAUGGGCCCGUAACUUCGGGAGAAGGGUCGCCCACAGUAAUGUGGGCCGCAGUGAAUUGGUCCAGGCGACUGUUUAUCAAAAACACAGGACUCUGCUAAAUCGAAAGAUGAUGUAUAGGGUCUGACACCUGCCCGGUGCCGGAAGGUUAAGUGGAGUUGUUAUUCUUCGGAAAAAGCAGCAAAAUGAAGCCCCGGUAAACGGCGGCCGUAACNAUAACGGUCCUAAGGUAGCGAAAUUCCUUGUCGGGUAAGUU